UGAAGGAGACAAAGAGCUGAAGG
rnacentral:misc_RNA from 1 species